AUACAACACAGGUUAUAUACCCAGCCCAGUGGAGACCGUCCCCGAAACACAGGUUAUAUACCCAGCCCAGUGGAGACAGUCCCCGACACACAGGUUAUAUACCCAGCCCAGUGGAGACCGUCCCCGACACACAGGUUAUAUACCCAGCCCAGUGGAGACAGUCCCCGACACACAGGUUAUAUACCCAGCCCAGUGGAGACCGUCCCCGACACACAGGUUAUAUACCCAGCCCAGUGGAGACAGUCCCCGAAACACAGGUUAUAUACCCAGCCCAGUGGAGACAGUCCCCGAAACACAGGUUAUAUACCCAGCCCAGUGGAGACAGUCCCUGACACACAGGUUA